rnacentral:rRNA from 1 species
UACGGAGGGGGCUAGCGUUAUUCGGAAUUACUGGGCGUAAAGCGCACGUAGGCGGCUUUGUAAGUUAGAGGUGAAAGCCCGGGGCUCAACUCCGGAAUUGCCUUUAAGACUGCAUCGCUAGAAUUGUGGAGAGGUAAGUGGAAUUCCGAGUGUAGAGGUGAAAUUCGUAGAUAUUCGGAAGAACACCAGUGGCGAAGGCGACUUACUGGACACAUAUUGACGCUGAGGUGCGAAAGCGUGGGGGAGCAAACAGG